rnacentral:tRNA from 1 species
GCCUGGCUGGCUCAGUCAGUGGAGCAUGGGACUCUUGUUCCUGGGGUUGUGGGUUCGAGUUCCACACUGGGUG